ACAGAGGUGGCAAGCGUUGUUCGGAAUUACUGGGCGUAAAGGACGCGUAGGCGGCCAUCUAAGUCAGACGUGAAAUCCCCCGGCUUAACCUGGGAACUGCGUCUGAUACUGGACGGCUUGAGUAUGGGAGAGGGAUGUAGAAUUCCAGGUGUAGCGGUGAAAUGCGUAGAGAUCUGGAGGAACACCCGUGGCGAAGGCGGCGCCCUGGUCCGUUUCUGACGCUGAGACGCGAAAGCGCGGGGAGCGAACGGGA
rnacentral:rRNA from 1 species